AGUGAACGCUGGCGGUAGGCCUAACACAUGCAAGUCGAACGGCAGCACAGUAAGAGCUUGCUCUUACGGGUGGCGAGUGGCGGACGGGUGAGGAAUACAUCGGAAUCUACUUUUUCGUGGGGGAUAACGUAGGGAAACUUACGCUAAUACCGCAUACGACCUACGGGUGAAAGCAGGGGAUCUUCGGACCUUGCGCGAUUGAAUGAGCCGAUGUCGGAUUAGCUAGUUGGCGGGGUAAAGGCCCACCAAGGCGACGAUCCGUAGCUGGUCUGAGAGGAUGAUGCGCCACAGUGGAACUGAGACACCGCCCAGACUCCUACGGGAGGCAGCAGUGGGGAAUAUUGGACAAUGGGCGCAAGCCUGAUCCAGCCAUACCGCGUGGGUGAAGAAGGCCUUCGGGUUGUAAAGCCCUUUUGUUGUGAAAGAAAAGCAGCAGGUUAAUACCCCGCUGUUCUGACGGUACCCAAAGAAUAAGCACCGGCUAACUUCGUG
rnacentral:rRNA from 1 species